UACGAGAGGUGCAAGCGUUGUUCGGAAUCAUUGGGCGUAAAGCGCACGUAGGCGGGUUCGUAUGUCGAUUGUGAAAGCCCCGGGCUCAACCUGGGAAUUGCAGCCGAAACUGCGAAUCUUGAAUACCUGAGAGGGUGGGAGAAUUCCUGGUGGAGUAGUGAAAUACGUAGAGAUCAGGAGGAAUACCGGAGGCGAAGGCGCCUGCCUGGCAGUGUAUUGACGCUGAGGUGCGAAAGCGUGGGGAGCAAACAGG
rnacentral:misc_RNA from 1 species